GUUUGGGCCUCUUUGGCUGUGUUUCCAUACAUGGGGAAGAAGACGAAGAAGCCAGAAAAAGGCAAAGAGAAAGCAGCGAAAGUUGAGGAAAAGAAAGCUCGCAGAGAGACCAGAAGCUCUCACCUGAGGAUGACAUCGAUGCCAUUUUGACCAUAUGGCUAUCAUGGAGGGUGUCAAGUUGGGAGGGUUGUUGAUAAAGGAUAUAGAGUUCUUGGUAUUGAUUCUCUGAGGGUUAUUGAUGGUUCAACGUUUUAUCAUAUAUACACACCCCGAGUGCUAAUCCUGAAGCUACUGUCAUGAUGCUUGGAAGGCAAGUAUACUUGGAAAACAUAUCAUAUAUACAUAAUCUUCACUAAAAUCUUAUACUAAUUGCUGCUUAAACCUGCAUUUUGGUUUCGUUUCUUGUGCAUGUGGUGCGGGUACAUAGGGGAAAGGAUUCUGCAUGACUGAUUAGUCCAUGGAUCAAAAAAGAAAAAUUGAUCUGCUCACUUAUGUUUCCCAAACAUAAAGUCAAUUAGUGAUUACUGGAAUAUAUGUCUCUGAGACAUUUGAUUAAUAUUGUAGAGAUUGGAACUUAAAAUUUUUAAAUCUAUAUAGUUGAUGUCAUGUUUAUUUACCUAUCAUCACAUUUGGUGUUCAAGCAAAACUUUCUGUACUCAGCUUGACUAGAUUAGCCUUUCUGUGAUUGAAUAUACGCCUUACUAAUAAAACUAAAUUAGCUCUAAAAAUAAUUAGUUAGUUUUUGUUUAUUUUGUUAAGAGCGUAAUUAGGAAGGAAACUAGUAAGGAGGUGAGGAUGACACAACGCAACUGCAAGCACUUUCAGAACUUUUGAUCACAUGGGCUGCUCUAACUUCAUGAAGUCCUUGAGAGAGUGGAAGAAUCUCAUAUGCUAGGAAAGAGCGCUUUCAAGGCUUGGAUAAGGAGGAGAAGAAUCUCGCAGCAGAAUGAGCCCUGGCCCCAACAAAAUCCC